CCUACGGGCGGCAGCAGUGAGGAAUAUUGGUCAAUGGGAGAGAGCCUGAACCAGCCAAGCCGCGUGAGGGAAGACGGCCCUAUGGGUUGUAAACCUCUUUUGUCGGAGAACAAAACCCGGGACGUGUCCCGGACUGCGUGUAUCCGAAGAAAAAGCAUCGGCUAACUCCGUGCCAGCAGCCGCGGUAAUACGGAGGAUGCGAGCGUUAUCCGGAUUUAUUGGGGUUAAAGGGUGCGUAGGCGGUCCGUUAAGUCAGCGGUAAAAUUGCGGGGCUCAACCCCGUCGAGCCGUUGAAACUGGCAGACUUGAGUUGGCGAGAAGUACGCGGAAUGCGCGGUGUAGCGGUGAAAUGCAUAGAUAUCGCGCAGAACUCCGAUUGCGAAGGCAGUGUACCGGCGCCAGACUGACGCUGAGGCACGAAAGCGUGGGGAUCGAACAGGAUUAGAUACCCUUGUAGUC
rnacentral:rRNA from 1 species